AGAGCGCUUGCUUCCCAAGCAAGA
rnacentral:tRNA from 1 species